rnacentral:rRNA from 1 species
AUGGCGCAAUGGGACGCGCUCGUGGACGCCGCGCUCGGUGAGCUGGCGUCCAGGAGCCUCCUGCGCGCCACACGCCCCAUCGCCCUGGCUCUUCCGGCCGCGCCGCCGGAGACGUUCCCAGGCCCCGGCCCGUGGGACCGCGCCGCCGUCGAGAUCCGCCUCGACCGCGCCACCCUCCGCCAGUGGCUCGCCGAAGGUGGCGAGGCCAGUGGCCAGGAAGAGGAGCUGGGUGAGAAGCUCAUUCUUUUCUCCGGGAAUGACUACAUGGGACUCAGCUCACAUCCGGCAGUCCGUGAGGCCGCAUCAAAGGCAGCUCAAGAGUACGGCAUGGGCCCUAGAGGCUCCGCGUUGAUAUGUGGGUAUACUACUUAUCACAAAUUGGUGGAGGAAUCAUUGGCAGAGUUGAAGAAAAAAGAGGAUUGCCUUCUCUGCCCCACCGGAUUUUCUGCCAAUAUGGCUGUGAUGACUGUUCUGGGGAGUAUUAGCUCUCUUUUGGCGGUUGGCAGAAAACCCGCAAAGGACGAGAGAAUUGCUAUUUUUUCAGAUGCCCUGAAUCAUGCUUCGAUCAUCGAUGGGAUUCGCCUUAUUGAGCGGCAGCAAGAAGCUGUAGUGUUUGUCUACAAGCACUGUGACAUGUCCCAUCUUGAUUUCCUCCUGUCCAGUUGCUCAAUAAAAAAGAAAGUUGUUGUCACAGAUAGCUUGUUUAGCAUGGAUGGUGAUUUUGCUCCAUUACCUGAACUUGUGGAACUACGCAAGAAGUAUGGAUUUUUAUUGGUCAUCGAUGAUGCCCAUGGAACACUUGUUUGUGGUGAUAAUGGUGGUGGUGUACCCGAGCUGCUUGAAUGUGAGAGUGGAAUUGACAUAGGUGUUGGCACCUUAAGUAAGGCUGCUGGCUGCCAGGGUGGGUUUGUGGCAUGCAGCACCCGAUGGAAGAGUUUAAUUCAGUCGCGAGGUCGUUCGUUCAUUUUUUCAACUGCUUUGCCAGUGCCAGUAGUUGCUUCUGUUCAAGCCGCGCUCCAUGUCUCGAGGAAGGAACGAUGGCGGAGAUCAUUGGUCUGGAGGCACGUGCAGUAUUUUGCAUCCUUGACUAAACUCAAUAUAACUAGUCCCAUAAUUUCCAUAGUAGUAGGAAGUGAAGAAGCAGCACUGAGGGCUGGCAGGCAUAUGCUAAGAUCUGGAUUUCAUGUUACACCAAUUCGACCACCCACCGUGCCGCCCAACUCAUGCAGGCUGCGAAUAACUUUGAGUGCUUCUCAUUCCUCGGAUGACAUCAAGAGGCUGGUCGAUGCGCUCGCUACCUGGCUAUCUGGCAAACAUGCCAAGCAGAGCUUUGUCGAGGGGCAUUCUGAGCAGAGCUACGUCGCAGCAUCAAAACUGUAA